rnacentral:tRNA from 1 species
GGGCGGUUAGCUCAGCGGUAGAGCAUCGGCCUUACAAGCCGGUGGUCGCUGGUUCGAUCCCAGCACCGCCCACCA